AUGCAGUCUGUUUCCCCCACCCCCACGGCGACGGCUGUGCCUGUGCGCCCAUCGUUGCGUGCCGUCCCGCGCUCGCUCGCUUCGGCGGAAAGGCUUGGGAUGGGCCGUGCCGCGACAUGCACCACCACAGCACUCCACGCGCAGUGCGGUGGCUGGGCGGAACCGGUGGAGGCGCGCAAGGAGGACGGGCCCGUGCCUCAGGAGCGAGUCCGAGGGGAGGACGAGGCCAUGGCCGGGGAAGACGAGGGCCGUAGCCCCACGGACUACGGCCGCCGAGCGCACAUCUUCGAGGAGAGCUCCCGGGUGUUCCGGGUCCUCAAGGAGCGCCGUGAUGGGGACGGCGGUGCCAAGCCUGGUGCUGCCGCGACGCGCCAUGGCUGA
rnacentral:rRNA from 1 species